CUGCUGCUGAAGAGUCCCAAACUAGGGCGAAACAGCUGUCCAGUAC
rnacentral:hammerhead_ribozyme from 1 species